UGCUCCUUGUGGAGUUUCCUGUGAGCCUGCUACACUGCAUAAAGAGAGGCUGUAGAGGGAUCUCCUGGAGAAGGACUGUUAUCUCAGACAAUCUUCACACUUCACAUUUAAGACUUCACUUACAAGUCUAGGGAGAAAAUGCUAUGUUCAUAUCAACAGAAAAUGGAGGAUGAUUCAGUUUGCAGUUUCGUAAGCUGUGCAAUUUGGACAUCUUCAUAAGGAGAUAGAUGAGGAGGUCUCAGAGGGUGAUGUUGGACAAUUGCUCAUCUGCCCAGAGGAUUCUCAUGACUGGUUAGCAGUCAAGGGAGCAGCAUUUUUGUUUGGAAGAUGUACAUUUCUUCAGGCUUCAUGGGCCUUUGGAAGGGGUCAACGAAAGGCCCUGGUAAAUACAUGAUUAGUGUUGUGAUCUCCUUCUCAACAUCAGAACAGGCCAUUAUCGUACCUUCAGUAUGUUCCCGUUCCAAAAUUGCCAUCCGGCAAACCUGCUUUCCUGUAUUCUCAACAGGAUAGUUUCCUCAUUAAAUUCUUGUGCCAACUUUGUAUCUUCACAGAUCUGUAUAUUUCCUUUUUAUUUUAACUGCCAAAUUCUACAUUUUUCAAUUUUUUUUCUUUGAAUAUAGUGUUCCACAGUCCUUUACAUCUUAACUGCUGACCUCAUCCUUAGUUGUAACUAACUCCUCAAAAACUAGAACAGCUUCCUCUUAUGUCUUAUUCACAAAACUAGAACUAUUCACGCUCUUCAUGAA